UACGGGGGGGGCAAGCGUUGUUCGGAAUUACUGGGCGUAAAGCGCACGUAGGCGGCUUUGUAAGUUAGAGGUGAAAGCCCGGGGCUCAACUCCGGAAUUGCCUUUAAGACUGCAUCGCUAGAAUUGUGGAGAGGUAAGUGGAAUUCCGAGUGUAGAGGUGAAAUUCGUAGAUAUUCGGAAGAACACCAGUGGCGAAGGCGACUUACUGGACAGAUAUUGACGCUGAGGUGCGAAAGCGUGGGGAGCAAACAGG
rnacentral:rRNA from 1 species